AAAGCCGAGCUCCUGCAGGCGCGCCGUGGGCAGAGCUAAAGAUUGACGAGCACUUGAGCUCCGACUGACAACAAAAUACUGUUUUUUUACUGUAGUCCGGUGCUGUCAGUUGAGCCUGUUCUUCCAGCGAUUCUCCCCGAGACCUUCAAAGGUGCGCUCAUACAGCAAAAAAUGUAAAAAACUUCUCACCCAGUUUCGUGUCCUCCGAUGUUUGAAGAUCGUCUCCAGAUUCCAAGAUAUUCGUGUUAUGUUGCAGACAAUCUACAAAGCACGUGGGUUGAUGACGUUCAGGAAAUGCGUUCCAAUCUCUCCAAAGAGGUGCAGCAAUUGAAAAUCCUAUGCAGAGCAGAGAUUUUCAAAGCAAGUAAUAUGGAGGCAAUAAGCCAGACAAACCAACUGAAGGACCACAAACCUGUCAAAGAUGAGGAAAAACAUGAAAGUCCAAAUGCUCGUUUGGAAACAUGAAACCAUACCUCGAAACAUGAGCUAGAGUGGGACAUGGGUCUGGAUGCGUUUAUUCAGGCGGAUGAGUUUCAGGAUGACUGUGAGACAGAGUGCUGGCGUGAGGACAAUCUCUGCAGGUACUUUGAGCUGAUAGAAAAGCUCCAGCGCAACCUAGAGGAGAUGGACCAGCUUCAGGAUAUAUUAGGUGGGAAUGAACGCCAAGCGUUUUCAUGAUCAGUGAUUGCAACUGCAACAUUACAUUUGAUCCAGUCUGGAUAGAGUAUUUUCAUUCAAACAUACAAUGCUGCAGUGCAAAAUAUUUUCCUCUUUAAUGGCAUUUUACCUAAUCAUAAUCUAAUUCAUUUAUUAUAAAAAAAGAACACCAAUUACUUAUUAUCUGUUGUGACACAGUUCAGGGUUUCCUUAACCUGCACGACUGCUCAGAAAAGUAAUAAGAAUGCAUCAGCAAACCUGCUCUAUGAAUUCUGUUCGUCGUCACGAACACUGGAUUGGUUAGACAAUGAAAGAUGUGUUUUUUUAUACAGUUCACUCAUUCAUAAUAAAAUGUAUAUUUUGAAUACUUUCUGAAAUGACAUUCGUA
ensembl:lncRNA